rnacentral:rRNA from 1 species
GGAAAGUUGCAAAGUACUUUGAAGAGAGAGUUCAAGAGGACGUGAAACCGAUAGGAUGGAAGCAGAUGAAGUUGACGAACGUGUGUCGUAUUCAAAAUUGCUGUCAGCGGUUUGUUUUUACGGCCGAUGUGGGCCGGCGGCUUUGGUCAAUGCAACGCGUCUAGCGUCGAUGGUGACCCUGCGGAGGGACAAUCAGUCGACGUACGGUGCUUGGUAUGGCUAAGGUUUCGCCGGUCUUAAAGUCAGCGCCUCAUCUGACCCGUCUUGAAACACGGACCAAGGAGUGUAGCGUUUGCGCAAGUCUUAGAGUGUAUCGAAACUUUGAGGCGUAACGAAAGUAAAUGCAGUUUAAUCUGCUGACUUGGGAUGCGUUGUCUCUUGUGGACGGCGCUGGACCAAGGUUUUAUCGCGAUCGCUUGCGGUGCGGUGAAAAUA